GACGAACGCUGGCGGCGUGCUUAACACAUGCAAGUCGAACGGAGUGGCGAACGGGUGAGUAACACGUGGGUGACCUGCCCUGCACUUCGGGAUAAGCCUGGGAAACUGGGGCUAAUACCGGAUAGUGUGGGAUGGGCCCGCUGCCUAUUCGCUUGUUGGUGGGGUAAUGGCCUACCAAGGCGGCGACGGGUGGCCGGCCUGAGAGGGUGGAAGGCCACAAUGGGACGAAGACACGGCCCAGACGCCUACGGGAGGCAGGAGGGGGGAGUAUGGCACAAUGGGCGGGAGCCUGAUGCAGGGAGCCCGGGUGGGGGAUGACGGCCUUCGGGUUGUAAACACCUUUCACCAUCGAGGCGGUAGAUGGAGAAGAAGCACCGGCUAACUACGUGCCAGCAGCCGCGGUAAUUC
rnacentral:rRNA from 1 species